rnacentral:lncRNA from 1 species
CCAUUAGAGAGCAGCAGCUGGAACUUUUUAAGCUUUACAUAUUUUUCUUCCCAAGCCUCCACGUCCCCUCCUUCCUCCUCAUUCAGUUGAUUAAAAGCGAUCAGGGCUGCUCUGAUUUAUCAACUCAAUCCUUUACUCUAAGCAAUUGAGAAAGCUGGUGCUUCCAGCCAUCCAGCCCCAGCUUUAGAGAUCAAGCUCAGCUGUCUCUGUUUACCUCUUAGCCCAAGUGAACUCUUGCCAUAACAGCACAGGUACCUUGAACUUUUCCUCGUCCAGCAGUAACUGGAGAUUGAUUCCUUUGUUUGUUGCCUCUGGAGAGAGACUUACAUCUUGAUCUGAAAGUGGAAAGGAAGAUGCUCUUGGAUGUUUAUCUCAGGCGUUUAUUGAUGAGAAGGGUGCAGAAGGCUCUAGCUGUCACAGCAGUAUGAGCUAAGGAAAAACACUGACACCAAUGGUAUACAUUGACAGGCAGCUUUGAUGUGAGCAAGGACAAGGUGCAGUGAUGACAGGCAGGUCCAUCACAUCAGAGCCCGGGAACAGAAGUAUCUUCACUGAACUGGUGCCUGACAAUCUGAAAUCAAAGGGCAUCCAGUGGAAGAUCACAGUUACAGCAGUUUGGGGAAAAGGAAACAAAACCACUGUUCAUCCCUGCAAUGAGAUAUCUUGUGACAAACAUCUUACUCUAACUGGGGUCAAAACAUCUGACCUAUUAACAGAAAAGGAGCAGAUUGAGAGCUUGCCUGUACUGGCGCAGAAGGAUGCCAGCCCCAGCAGAAUUUACUUUUUUCUUAAGAGCAUACCAAAGCCUCCUGAAGUUCACCAGGAAUUUUGUAGCACCUGUCUGGCACACAAUCUGCUGGUCGUCUGAUUUUUCCUGUGGGUAUGUGUGUUAUAACUAAAAGAGAGCAUUAGAGGGGAAAGGCACUGAAACGGGAUGUUUUUUUAUUUCAGUAAAUUUACAAAAUCAGUAAUUUCUGGAGGGAGCUCAGAGCCACAAGCCCAGUCAAGAGAUUCUACACUUUACCAAAGUAGUUUUUUUCUGAAAAGUUCUCCUGCAGCAAUCAAAAUGUAUUAAUUUUUUCACAGAUUGUGGAGCUCAAGGGGUGAAGUUUUGUACUUUGUUUAAGGCCAGAGGUUUGUCUAA